rnacentral:rRNA from 1 species
UACGUAGGGUGCAAGCGUUAAUCGGAAUUACUGGGCGUAAAGCGUGCGCAGGCGGUUGUGUAAGACAGAUGUGAAAUCCCCGGGCUCAACCUGGGAACUGCAUUUGUGACUGCACAGCUGGAGUGCGGCAGAGGGGGGAUGGAAUUCCGCGUGUAGCAGUGAAAUGCGUAGAUAUGUGGAGGAAUACCGAUGGCGAAGGCAGCCUCCUGGGCCAACACUGACGCUCAUGCACGAAAGCGUGGGGAGCAAACAGG